CCAAUCCGUACUGGGCAUUUGGCUCAUGCCGUAUUCUUAUUCUGGCAGGUACUUAGGGGGAUUCGGGACUGUGUGAUGGAGAGCAGCCCAUUCUUUUCAUUGUUUAGGACUUUAUGGACUUCUAGCAUUUAUUCGGAUUUUAUUGUUUAGAGAUUCUAUUUAUUCGCAUUAUUCGGAUUAAAUUAUUUUCGAGGAUUUAU
rnacentral:lncRNA from 1 species